AUUGAACGCUGGCGGCAGGCCUAACACAUGCAAGUCGAGCGGAUGAAGGGAGCUUGCUCCUGGAUUCAGCGGCGGACGGGUGAGUAAUGCCUAGGAAUCUGCCUGGUAGUGGGGGAUAACGUCCGGAAACGGGCGCUAAUACCGCAUACGUCCUGAGGGAGAAAGUGGGGGAUCUUCGGACCUCACGCUAUCAGAUGAGCCUAGGUCGGAUUAGCUAGUUGGUGGGGUAAAGGCCUACCAAGGCGACGAUCCGUAACUGGUCUGAGAGGAUGAUCAGUCACACUGGAACUGAGACACGGUCCAGACUCCUACGGGAGGCAGCAGUGGGGAAUAUUGGACAAAGGGCGAAAGCCUGAUCGAGCCAUGCCGCGUGUGUGAAGAAGGUCUUCGGAUUGUAAAGCACUUUAAGUUGGGAGGAAGGGCAGUAAGUUAAUACCUUGCUGUUUUGACGUUACCAACAGAAUAAGCACCGGCUAACUUCGUG
rnacentral:rRNA from 1 species